rnacentral:rRNA from 1 species
AUUGAACGCUGGCGGCAUGCUUUACACAUGCAAGUCGAACGGUAACAGGCCGCAAGGUGCUGACGAGUGGCGAACGGGUGAGUAAUGCAUCGGAACGUGCCCAGUCGUGGGGGAUAACGCAGCGAAAGCUGCGCUAAUACCGCAUACGAUCUAUGGAUGAAAGCGGGGGACCGUAAGGCCUCGCGCGAUUGGAGCGGCCGAUGUCAGAUUAGGUAGUUGGUGGGGUAAAGGCUCACCAAGCCAACGAUCUGUAGCUGGUCUGAGAGGACGACCAGCCACACUGGGACUGAGACACGGCCCAGACUCCUACGGGAGGCAGCAGUGGGGAAUUUUGGACAAUGGGCGCAAGCCUGAUCCAGCAAUGCCGCGUGCAGGAAGAAGGCCUUCGGGUUGUAAACUGCUUUUGUACGGAACGAAACGGUCUGGGUUAAUACCUCGGGCUAAUGACGGUACCGUAAGAAUAAGCACCGGCUAACUACGUGCCAGCAGCCGCCGUAA